GACGAACCGAGCGAACGUUGUUCGGAAUUAUUGGGCGUAAAGAGCUCGUAGGCGGUCUGUCGCGUCUGCUGUGAAAACUCGGGGCUUAACCCCGGGCCUGCAGUGGGUACGGGCAGACUAGAGUGCGGUAGGGGAGACUGGAAUUCCUGGUGUAGCGGUGAAAUGCGCAGAUAUCAGGAGGAACACCGGUGGCGAAGGCGGGUCUCUGGGCCGUAACUGACGCUGAGGAGCGAAAGCAUGGGGAGCGAACAGG
rnacentral:rRNA from 1 species